CCCUAGGUCGCGGGGCAGCUGGGGCGGAAGGGCUCGUUCAUUAUUUUGAGAGUUUGUUGUGAACGUCAUAACCCUUCGUCCUUAAAUAUUGCCGAUACUUGACCUACGCAAGAGACAAUGUCAUGUGAUUCAGCCUAAUAUCUCAAAGGAUGCAGCAUUCAAGGUUCUGUCUUGGAAGCAGAGACUGGGCCCUCACCAGAUGCUGAACUUGCUGAGCACCUUGAUCUUCCACUUCACCUUCAUCAGAACUGUCCUGAGUGCUUAUCCCGCAUCCAGGAAGAAUGAAGUUAUGCGGACACCUGGAGAGUGAGCAAGGCUGGGAAGAGCUUUAUUGGGCAACCAGACAGCUCUCAGAAGAGAGGUGACCUGAACAGCUAACUCCUAUCUGCAGGCAGAAUUUUAUCUCAUCUAAACAGCUUACCUGGUGUGAUGACCAAGAGCUUUCUCUCUGAAAGGCAUUUAGAUGGUCUGGAAACAAUUUUGACCGUCAAGAAUUGGGUGAAGAGGCCAGGCGCCGUAGCUCGCACCUGUAAUCCCAGCACUUUAGGAGGAUGAGGAAGAGGAAGAAGAAAAGGAAGGAAGGAGAGGAAAAAGGAAGGACGGAAGAAAAGAAAAAAGAAUGAGAGAGAGAGAACAAAAGCAUCAAGGAUAAGUGAUGCUAAGAAGACUGGCUAGCCCUAUGCAGAAGAAUGAAAUUGGACCCUUUCCUUUCACCAUAUACAAAAACUCACUCAAGAUGGGUGAAAGACUUAAAUGUAAAACCUAAAACUGUGAAAACCCUAGGAAACCUAGGAAAUGUCAUUUUGGAUAUAGGCUCUGGCAAAGAUUUCAUGAUAAAGACUCCAAAAGCAAUUGCAACAUAAAAAAAAAAAUUCACAAGGAGAACAUAAUUAAAGAGCUUCUGCACAGCAAAAGAAACAAUCAACAGAGUAAACAGACAACUUGCAGAAUGGGAAAAUGUGUUUGCAAACUAUGCAUCUGAUAAAGGUCUAAUAUCCGGCAUCUAUAAGGAACUUAACUCUGCAAGAAAAAACAAACCCCCACCAAAAUUUUCUUAGAAUAAUCAAAAAAUAGACAAAGAACAUGAACAGACACCUCUCAAAAGAAGACAUAUAUGCAGCCAACAAGCAUAUGAAAAAAAUACUCAGCAUCACUCAUCAUCUGAGAACUGCAAACCAAAACCACAAUGAUUUAUCGUCUCACAGCAGUCAGAAUGGCUAUUAUAAAAAGUCAAAAAAUAACAGAUACUGGUGAGGUUGUGAAGAAAAGGGAAUGCUUAUACACUGCCCAUGGGAAUGUAAAUUAGUUCAGUCACUGUGGGAAGCAAUUUGGAGAUUUCUCAAAGAACUUAGAACUUCCACUAGAAUUUUGAUAAGGAUUGCAUUGAAUUUGGUGUCUCUUUGGGUACCAUGAACCCUUUAACAAUAGUAAUCCAUGAGCAUGUGGUAUUUUUCCAUAUAUUUGCUUCCAUUCAAAUUUUUGAACACUUUGAAGUUUACAUAAAUCUUUCUUUUCGUUCUUCUUUCUUUCUUUUUGUCUCUCUCUUACUUUGUUUGUUCUUGUUUCCUUCCUUCUUUCCUUCCUUCCUUCCUCUUUUUCUUUGUAGCGGCAAUAUAAACAUAUUCUAGCUUUAAUCUGGUGAUUUAUAUUUAGUGAUUUUUUAAAAAUGAGAAUAAUGAUUGAAUUAUAAUUGGAACUAGACCUAAAGCAGAGAGAAACCUUUCCUCUUUUCUUUUCUUGUUUUUUUUUUUUUUCUGUUCUCCACUGCUUCUUAAUUGAUUGGUUUGCUUUUCUAGUCAUAAGGAAGCUGUGUAUUAUAAAAUUAAAUUGAUAUUGUCAUUUCUAGAGAUGGCUACAAGUAGCCAGAAGAUGUUUUUAAAAUUGAAAGCUAACUGCCAAUUGAAAAAAAAAA
ensembl:lncRNA